rnacentral:piRNA from 1 species
UAAAAACUCACCAGUUUAGAUACACCCUGC